UUUAAUUGGAAUGAUUUAAAUACAAAUUUUGAAUUUUUAUGUUAGACAAACAAAUGAGUUAUUUUUCAUAUCCAAUUAGUUUGAUUUUUAAGGAGUUAAUUAAAUAAAUUAUUUGAGGAAUAAAUUACAUUUUUAUUUGGUUAUUCAAAAUUUUUCCAAAUGUAUAUAUAUAUAAAUAAAAUUAUAUAUUAGAAAAUUAUGAUAGAAAUUG
rnacentral:lncRNA from 1 species